rnacentral:rRNA from 1 species
UGAGUUUGAUCCUGGCUCAAGACGAACGCUGGCGGCGUGCCUAAUACAUGCAAGUCGAGCGAGCUUGCCUAGAUGAUUUUAGUGCUUGCACUAAAUGAAACUAGAUACAAGCGAGCGGCGGACGGGUGAGUAACACGUGGGUAACCUGCCCAAGAGACUGGGAUAACACCUGGAAACAGAUGCUAAUACCGGAUAACAACACUAGACGCAUGUCUAGAGUUUGAAAGAUGGUUCUGCUAUCACUCUUGGAUGGACCUGCGGUGCAUUAGCUAGUUGGUAAGGUAACGGCUUACCAAGGCAAUGAUGCAUAGCCGAGUUGAGAGACUGAUCGGCCACAUUGGGACUGAGACACGGCCCAAACUCCUACGGGAGGCAGCAGUAGGGAAUCUUCCACAAUGGACGAAAGUCUGAUGGAGCAACGCCGCGUGAGUGAAGAAAGGUUUCGGCUCGUAAAGCUCUGUUGGUAGUGAAGAAAGAUAGAGGUAGUAACUGGCCUUUAUUUGACGGUAAUUACUUAGAAAGUCACGGCUAACUACGUGCCAGCAGCCGCGGUAAUACGUAGGUGGCAAGCGUUGUCCGGAUUUAUUGGGCGUAAAGCGAGUGCAAGCGGUUCAAUAAGUCUGAUGUGAAAGCCUUCGGCUNCACCGGAGAAUUGCAUCAGAAACUGUUGAACUUGAGUGCAGAAGAAGAGAGUGGAACUCCAUGUGUAGCGGUGGAAUGCGUANAUAUAUGGAAGAACACCAGUGGCGA